GAAAUGAAACUACAGAUCUUCUGAAAGACUUCCAAACUUAUCAGGAUCGAUUUGAAGUAGUCAAAGAUGUGAUCCAGCACGAGAAUCAUACUGAAGCACUUGAUCAGGCAGUAGAACAUAUUGCAAGUGAGGAAUUUGGUAACAUAGUUGCUCCAAAUGCUGAGUAUUGAGAUGAACAAGAUAAAGAAGUUGUCCCAAAAGUGAGUGAAUUAUUUGGAUGUUUUGAUCCAGGAAAAGAUAAAUA